ACUGCAGUUUAGCAAGCCGCUGGUACCAAAAAAAAUCGUUUCCACAUUGAAGUCCAUUUAAAACUACCAAUGUGACCGGACCACAUUACCUCCCAUCCCCCCAAGUUACGCUUAACUUCCUACUGGACCAGCAUUAUGUAAAACUUUGGUUUUCCAUAAUAUAGUGUAAUCAUGUUUGGUAUCGUUGGAAAUCUGAUGGGUGCAGCCAGGACAGGGCGACAAAGCAGCCCUUAAUGACAUGCGAUCUCUGUCAGGGGGGGAGCGCUCGUUCUCCAUCGUGUGUUUUGUGUUGUCGCCCUGGACCAUUGACGAGGCCCCCUUACAAUGUCUGGACGAGUUUGACGUCUAAAUGGAUAUGGACAACCGGAGAAUAUCCCUCGACAUGAUGCUUAGGAUCGCUGCUAGCCAACGUUUCCGACAGUUCAUUUUCCUCACCCCUCAGAACGAGCUCCCUCCCACUCAGCAACCUGAUCCGGGUUCAUCGGCUGAAGGAUCCAGACCGCACCCAGACUGUGCUGCCCUUCGGCAAAGGGAACCGAGAGGAGGCGGAGGGAUGAGGUAGAGCACCCUCCCGUCCCCAGGCUCCGUUACCCAAUCAGCACCCUUACUAAGGGAAUCAUGCCAUUCUUUGGACUGGGAGAUGCAAAACCAAAAACUAAAAAAAUAAAGCUUGGAUAAUGAAAGAUUGUUAAAUGGCCCACAUUUGGAAUAUUUUAGUUCUGCGGAAGGAAAUUUUCAGUUACAAAGGUAAGAUGUUUCUGAGAAGAAAUGUCCCAGUCACAAAACAUUUGAAUUCUUUUUCUAAUAACCAAUCAGAUUUAUACUUUAAUAUGUUAGCUUUGUUUUAAGCAGUUUAAAUUAUUGAGUUCAAUCAGAAACAUAUUAUAAAUGGUGGGUGACUCUUUCUAUCCAGUUCAUUUUGUCAUAUUUUAGUUCCUGGGGGAGAGGAGGAUCAUCCACUUUUGUGUGUUCUGUUUGUGUUGUAUACUAAAAUUGUAUGCUUACAUAAAGUUCGCAUAUGAAAAUUG